rnacentral:rRNA from 1 species
ACGCACGCUGGCGGCGUGCUUCACACCUGCAAGUCGCACGGAAAGGCCCUGCUUUUGUGGGGUGCUCGAGUGGCGAACGGGUGAGUAACACGUGAGUAACCUGCCCUUGACUUUGGGAUAACUUCAGGAAACUGGGGCUAAUACCGGAUAGGAGCUCCUGCUGCAUGGUGGGGGUUGGAAAGUUUCGGCGGUUGGGGAUGGACUCGCGGCUUAUCAGCUUGUUGGUGGGGUAGUGGCUUACCAAGGCUUUGACGGGUAGCCGGCCUGAGAGGGUGACCGGCCACAUUGGGACUGAGAUACGGCCCAGACUCCUACGGGAGGCAGCAGUGGGGAAUAUUGCACAAUGGGCGGAAGCCUGAUGCAGCAACGCCGCGUGCGGGAUGACGGCCUUCGGGUUGUAAACCGCUUUCGCCUGUGACGAAGCGUGAGUGACGGUAAUGGGUAAAGAAGCACCGGCUAACUACGUG